AGCCUUAUAGCUAGCCCACUCAAACAACCUCAACCACCCCCUGUUAAUAACCCCUAAGUACACUAGUACUCACAUAAACAAACCAUUUUUCCCCCUUAGUAUAG
rnacentral:rRNA from 1 species